CAAAAACAUCGCCUCUUGCAAAAUUAAAGAAUAAGAGGUCCCGCCUGCCCUGUGACAAUACGUUUAACGGCCGCGGUAUUUUGACCGUGCGAAGGUAGCGCAAUCACUUGUCUCUUAAAUGGAGACCUGUAUGAAUGGCAUGACGAGGGCUUGACUGUCUCCUUUUCCCGGUCAAUGAAAUUGAUCCUCCCGUGCAGAAGCGGGAAUUAAAACAUAAGACGAGAAGACCCUAUGGAGCUUUAGAUACUAAAGUAGAUUAUGUUAAGAGACCCAACAAAGGACUGAACUAAGUAAUCCCUACCCUAAUAUCUUUGGUUGGGGCGACCGCGGGGUAACAUAAAACCCCCAUGUGGAAGGGGGACACCCAUCCCUAAAGCCGAGAGUGACCACUCUAAGCAACAGAACAUCUGACCAUUAAAGAUCCGGCAAGGCCGAUCAACGAACCGAGUUACCCUAGGGAUAACAGCGCAAUCCCCUUUUAGAGCCCAUAUCGACAAGGGGGUUUACGACCUCGAUGUUGGAUCAGGACAUCCUAAUGGUGCAGCCGCUAUUAAGGGUUCGUUUGUUCAACGAUUAAAGUCCUACGUGAUCU
rnacentral:rRNA from 1 species